UCAGAUAUGCUACAAACAUACCCUUCUUCCUGAACCAUUGGGGAAUAAAUUGCCAAUGGGAUGCUCCCUCAUGCCAAAAUAUUCCUUACAAAGAAGGACAUUUUCCUACAUAAAAUCAAAAUCAGGGAAACAAAAUGACACAAUGCUACCCUUUAAUCCAUCAUCUUCAAUCAAAUUCCAUGUGAUCCCAUCUAUGUCCUUCAAAGUACCGCAUCCAGGAUCACAGGUUGUAAGGUCAAUUUAUCUCCUAGUCUCAUUCAGUUAGGAACAUUUCCUUAAUAUUUCCUAGACUUUCAUGACUUGACACUUUUGCCGAUUACACACGCCUGUUACAUUGUUGAACUUCUCUCAAUUUGGGGUUAUUUGAUGUUUUCUUAAGAUGAAAUUCAGGUUAUGUAUUUUGGGCAGGAAUAUUAUUGAAGCAGUGCUGUGUUCUUGUCGUUGUGUCUUAUCAGGUGGCAUGUUUUGAUUUGAACCUUUAUUGAUUAGGAAACUAUCUGCCAGGUUUUUCCAUUAUGAAGUUAUUCUUUUUUCUUUCUUUCUUUUUUUUUUUUUUGGUAACAAUAUGUGUUUUGUGAAUGUACUUGGAGGCUAUGUACAUAUCUAAUUCUUCAUCAAACCUCGGUCCACUACCUAUUAGUAUCCAUUAUGCUUCUUGGCUGAACCAGUUACCAGGGUAAAACCAAAUUACUGCUUACAUCCUGCACAGGCCAUGGAAAUAGGGUUCCUCUUGGUGCAACAGGCUGGCUGCGGAAUAAAGUCUAAGACAAAUAGAGCAAUGAAAAAACCACAGAACAGGAAAUAUUUUUUUAAAAGUGGGGGCAGGACGGGCUAGCAGGUCCCACGGAUGGAACUUCCACACUAAAAAAAGCAAAAUGGAGCCGGCGUUUGGUUUAUUUAUAUUGGGGAACAUCAAAUGUUUUCCAUGGAAAUGUUCUUUGCCAAAAAAGGUAGAAGGUGGGCUGUUCAGUUCCCAAUGGGUUAAGCCCAUCUCUGGAGCUACUUUGAGGGAUCUCCCUGGUCAUGUGCCUUGGGUAAUCUAUUGAGUGGGAGGAGUCACAAAUAGUUCCCAAGGUUAAACCUAAAUCUCCCUGGCUUCUUCAUAAUGAGUGAAGCCCUCAAGUAAUUCACGGGUGGCUUCCUGCAUCAAAUAGUAAUUUACUGACUCCAUGGUUCUGACUACACUGGUUAGUUUGUAAUCCAUUGUAAGAAAAAGAUACAUCCUUUCCCACUUACUCAUUUACUUAGGUAAUGUGGACUCAGGAUCCUAUUUUAUUUAGUGACUUAAGUUAUGAUUAUUUAUUUUGAUGCUCAUUACUUGUUUGUUUUGAAACAGGGUCUUGUUAUGUUACCCAGGUUGGCCUUGAACUCCACGGAUCAAGCAAUCCUCCUGUCUCUGCCUCCCAAAUAGCAGACUACAGGAGUGUGCCAAUGUGGCUGGCUAAUGAUGCUCAUCACUUCUUUUCAGGACUCAUGGAUCCCUAUUUUAUUACAUGGAUUUGUGAUAUGUUACUAUUUAUAUUUGUGCCUCAGUUGUCCCAUGCUUGGAUGGGAGAGUCCUCUUUUAACUGUCUUUUGUCUUUUGAUGUGUAAUCAUCACUUUCUGAUCCAACAAGGUGCUUGGUAUUGGGGUGUUGAUGCUCCCAGGUCCUCUCAGACACCACUAGAGAAUAUGUGCAUGUGCAUGUACAUACAUAUGUAACCACAUCUAUAUUAGUUUCCUAUCCCUAUUGAAAAUUCCACUUCAAUUUCACAUAACUCAUUCUAAUUUUCUCAUCUGUAUUUCCCUUCAUCUGCAAUAUUUUUACUUAUUUGAUCAAUCCCCUCCACAUAACCAAGUUUACAUCACCACGGCCACCCCCAUCCCACUCCAUUGGACAAUAUUCUCACUUGCUUGAUACCAACAGAUUACCCCAAACCCCUACUCCCUUGACUCCUCUGACUUUCCCAUUCUUACUUUGCUCAGCCUCAUCUUAUAUUUAGAGAGAAUUGUUUUGAAAGAGAGAAUGGGUGGAAGCAAGCUUUUAAAUUUUUAUUGUAAUAGAAACUAAUACAAAAGAAAAACAUAGAGAGAAAGGAUUUUAAUUUUUUCCAGACAUCUUCUAAUUGUUUCAGUACAAUAGUCUAAGUAAAUAGAAAGUUAUUUUCAUCAAGUUAUAUUAUGUGAUAUUUUAAUGUGAAAAUUGUGAGGAAAAGUUCUUUCUAUUCUUUUCUAGGUUUCCUUUUUUUCUUUCCAUUUCUAUUCUCUCAUGGAUGACUGAAGAGAGAGCAAAGAAAUGAUAUCACAGGUUGAUCUAAUAAGUAAUGAUAGAAAAAUCAAUUGAGAAAUGUAUGGUUUAAUGUAAAACUCUCUUAUUGAAAAAUUACAUAUUUAGUACCUUAAGAGAAACUCAGGCUGGCUUCAGUGAUCUGCACCUGUAGUCCCAGCUACUCGGGAGGCUAGGGCAGGAUUGGGUAAUAUAGUGAGAUAGUGAGACCCUCAUGUAAAACAAAAGUUAGAAAUUUAUAACUUUGCUUAUUAACUCUUAGGAAAGAACUUAUUAUAGGUUGAAUAUGUCUCAUCCAAAAUGUUUGAGACGAGGAACAUUUCAGAUUUUGGAAUAUCUACAAUUAAACAUGUGUUGUUCACCCAAGAUGGGAUCCAUCAAG
rnacentral:lncRNA from 1 species